rnacentral:rRNA from 1 species
UUGCAGCACCUUACAGUGGCUGCAGCAAACGCAUUAAGCACUCCGCCUGGGGAGUACGACCGCAAGGUUGAAACUCAAAGGAAUUGACGGGGGCCCGCACAAGCGGUGGAGCAUGUGGUUUAAUUCGAAGCAACGCGAAGAACCUUACCAGGUCUUGACAUCCUUUGACCACUCUAGAGAUAGAGCUUCCCCUUCGGGGGCAAAGUGACAGGUGGUGCAUGGUUGUCGUCAGCUCGUGUCGUGAGAUGUUGGGUUAAGUCCCGCAACGAGCGCAACCCUUAUUGUUAGUUGCCAUCAUUUAGUUGGGCACUCUAGCGAGACUGCCGGUGACAAACCGGAGGAAGGUGGGGAUGACGUCAAAUCAUCAUGCCCCUUAUGACCUGGGCUACACACGUGCUACAAUGGGAAGUACAACGAGUUGCGAAGUCGCGAGGCUAAGCUAAUCUCUUAAAGCUUCUCUCAGUUCGGAUUGUAGGCUGCAACUCGCCUACAUGAAGCCGGAAUCGCUAGUAAUCGCGGAUCAGCACGCCGCGGUGAAUACGUUCCCGGGCCUUGUACACACCGCCCGUCACACCACGAGAGUUUGUAACACCCGAAGUCGGUGAGGUAACCUUUUUGGAGCCAGCCGCCUAAGGUGGGAUAGAUGAUUGGGGUGAAGCUCAAAGGGGGGAACAACAA